rnacentral:rRNA from 1 species
ACAUCCAGAGAACUUAGCAGAGAUGCUUUGGUGCCUUCGGGAACUCUGAGACAGGUGCUGCAUGGCUGUCGUCAGCUCGUGUUGUGAAAUGUUGGGUUAAGUCCCGNAACGAGCGCAACCCUUAUCCUUUGUGCCAGCGGUUCGGCCGGGAACUCAAAGGAGACUGCCGGUGAUAAACCGGAGGAAGGUGGGGAUGACGUCAAGUCAUCAUGGCCCUUACGGCCAGGGCUACACACGUGCUACAAUGGCGCAUACAAAGAGAAGCGACCUCGCGAGAGCAAGCGGACCUCAUAAAGUGCGUCGUAGUCCGGAUUGGAGUCUGCAACUCGACUCCAUGAAGUCGGAAUCGCUAGUAAUCGUAGAUCAGAAUGCUACGGUGAAUACGUUCCCGGGCCUUGUACACACCGCCCGUCACACCAUGGGAGUGGGUUGCAAAAGAAGUAGGUAGCUUAACCUUCGGGAGGGCGCUUACCACUUUGUGAUUCAUGACUGGGGUGAAGUCGUAACAAGGUAAGCGUAGCGAG